GGCUGAGUAAAAGCAGGUGCUGAGGCCUCUGCAGGAGAAGAUUUUUUUCUUUUUUCCUGAAUAUCUCAGUGGGAAACAAUCUGACGAGGAUUCUCUGUCCUGGAUGUAAUGCUGCUGCUGAUGAACGUUUGAAAACAAACCAGUGUGUCUGGGCUGAAAGCACUGAGGAGGAAACAGGCCAAGGUAGCGGACUGCGCUUCUCCUCCCAUCGUGGUUACCUCAUUCCGCCUCAUCAUUUCCAUGUGUUGAGUGUGCUAUUCCUCUCGCCCAGAGGGGUGAAUCUCAUUCAAAUACUGUGCUCCGGUUUCAAUAAAUCUUUAACAAGGUACAUGUCGUCUGCUGAAAAAAAAAGCUUGCAGUGUUUCCAGGGAGGUGGGCACACCGCUUCUGGCCGUGUGUUUCUGAGGCCGUACUGCAGCACGGGGCUUUGUGUUGGGCGACCGGAACCAGAUGAAACCGGUUUGAGGGAGACAGAGGGCUGACAGGAACAAUGCCGUCUCUGUGCUCCACCGAGGGAAGACGUAUCCCAG
ensembl:lncRNA